AGGGAUCUUGCAUCUUGGGACCUUCUGCAGAGUCUUCUCAUGUCUGGGCUCUACCGAAAGCUGAAUGCCUUCUAGGUCAUCAGGCCCCCACCGCUCGCCUUACCUGCUCUUCUCCAAAGAAAAAUGGCUUCGGGCGAAGGCAGGAACACCAGGCCUUUCUUCGUGCAAACAACACUAAUGGGGAACUCCGCGAAGAAAGUGCAGGAGACCAGAGGAGCUGUCACCACACGUGCCAGGAGGGGAGAUUUAUGCUGAUGACCAGGAUGUGGACAUACCAAUGAAUUAUCCUUUUGUGCCAAGGCCUCGGCAGCUUGCAAGUGACCCCGACUUCUGCACACGUGUGCUCAUGUGUUAUUACAAAGAUAUUGUCCACUACUCAAGAUUGCUGCAUUUCUG